rnacentral:lncRNA from 1 species
UAUCUCAUUGCAAGUGUAUUGACUAGAAGGUUGUAUCUCAACAUAAUCAUCUGCUAGUUACCAAGUAAAAAUAUUUUCCUAAAUCCAAAGAAAUGUAGCAAAAGGUAAACUCAUGUUGCAUAAACAGAGCUUGCUAACAUGCUGAGAAUAGCACUCUCUGACUGCUUCCUUUACAGGAAUAACAAUGGGACUGUUUGGAUGACUAAGGGCUGAGGGAUCAACUCUGCGGUCAGGUCAGAUCUGGACCAAAAUCAAAAGAAAAGAGAAGAAAAAGUAACACAUAGAACCAAUCAAAGGGGGGGAAAGGAAUAUGAAAUACCUCCUGAAUCUUCGAGCACUGGUCAAAUAGUUACUCCAGGAUGACUGCUAGUGAUGGACAGAUCCUUAUUUGUAAGUAUUUAAUGUUUCUUAGGAAGCACUUCUAAAAGAAAUUGGUAUGUAAUGACAGCACUCACUGGAAAACAGGCCGAUUAGAAAAUGCACUAACUUAUCU